GAUAAACGCUGGCGGCGCACAUAAGACUUGCAAGUCGAACGGACCAAAGCUUUAGUUUACUAUAGUAGAGGUUAGUGGCGGACUGGUGGGUAACACGUAAGCAACCUGCCUAUCAGAGGGGAACAACAGUUAGAAAUGACUGCUAAUACCGCAUAUGCCAUAAUCACCACAUGGUGAUAGUGGGAAAGGAGCAAUCCGCUGAUAGAUGGGCUUGCGUCUGAUUAGAUAGUUGGUGGGGUAACGGCCUACCAAGUCGACGAUCAGUAGCCGGACUGAGAGGUUGAACGGCCACAUUGGGACUGAGAUACGGCCCAGACUCCUACGGGAGGCAGCAGUCGGGAAUAUUGCGCAAUGGAGGAAACUCUGACGCAGUGACGCCGCGUGCAGGAAGAAGGUUUUCGGAUUGUAAACUGCUUUAGACAGGGAAGAUACAAGACAGUACCUGUGGAAUAAGCUCCGGCUAACUACGUGCCAGCCGCCGCCGUAAGAC
rnacentral:rRNA from 1 species